rnacentral:tmRNA from 1 species
CUUCAAAUAUUUAUCCCAAUCGCCUAUAUGUAGUGGGCCCGUUUCGGCGGGCUAUGGCGAUAAAUGACGCGUGUAAUAACCGUAUCGGACCCGGGGGCGGUACCCGGCGGCUCCACCAAACCCCCUCCUGCCCUGCCGGCUCGGGAGGCUUUGACGGGGCCGAAAUAGGAUCGACGAGCGUCUAAAGACGAUGUUUUCGCCCGGUUGGCCUCCGUUAUUUGGCCAAACUGAAUAGUUGCUAACGACAACCAUUCGGAAGAGUUCGCCCUCGCCGCGUAAGCGGUGCGAGCAACUCGCAUUUAAAGUCCUAGCCCCUUUCCAAGGCUAGGCGGGGUUUCGGGAGCACCUGGCAACAGAAGCUCC